rnacentral:rRNA from 1 species
UACGUAGGGACCGAGCGUUGUCCGGAAUCAUUGGGCGUAAAGGGCGCGUAGGCGGCCUUCUAAGUCGAACGUGAAAUCCCCGGGCUCAACCCGGGAACUGCGUCCGAUACUGGAAGGCUUGAAUCCGGGAGAGGGAUGUGGAAUUCCAGGUGUAGCGGUGAAAUGCGUAGAUAUCCGGAGGAACACCGGUGGCGAAGGCGACAUCCUGGACCGGUAUUGACGCUGAGGCGCGAAAGCCAGGGGAGCAAACGGG